GGUGCGGUAGAUUAGUGGUCUACAUACCAUCACCAGGACCGAGACGCGGGUUCGAAUCCCGCCUGAGCCA
rnacentral:tRNA from 1 species